ensembl:lncRNA
CUCAGCUGUGCUCCAGGAUAGAAAAUCCGGGGUUAUCACCAAGGCUGAUGCAAAGCUAUGGUGAUGGAGGGACAAGUAAUUGCAAUCACAGAGGGUACUUCAUGAUCUUCUCUUGAAGCCCAGACAAUGAGCCCUGCCAAGCCCUGAGCAGGCUGCUUAAGCAGCCACUCCAGUUUGAACCUGUGUAAUUCAUGAGUGCAGUGUGGGGCCCUCACUCGUAACCUUCAGAUGUUUCCAGCAGCACCAGGGAGAUGCUUCAAAAGCUUUCUGAAUGUCAAAUAUCAGAAGUCAGUGAAUCUCAAUGUCAGGAACACCCUCUAACUUCACAACAUAGGUUUCCUUGUGUUCCUGCACAGUUUUCCUGUCUAGUAAUCGGGCACGGAGCACUGUUUCAUCUCGUGCAGUGAGGCAGGCUCCAGCACACGCUUGCACAUCACUUAUGAACCCUGGGUAAAAGCUGUUGUGCCAAGUGAAGCAUGUCAGCUCUGCCAUGGCUAACAAGUCAAGCGCACUCCCACCACAGCUUCCUGGCAAACGUACCCCUACACCUACCACAGCCCUUCUGGCUGCUGAGAGAAUGCUCCUGGGACAGGCUGAGCCCGGCAGUGCCUUGCCUGGGACCCGUGCCACAGCAGCCCUGCCAAGCACGGGCUUGCCGAGCCGAGGACAACCGCACAGUGAGUGCAGGCAGCGCCUGGCAGGGCAGCAGGUCCUCUUGUGUGCCUGAGCUGCCUGCAGAGCGCUGUGCGCAGCACUGCCUGCCGGGCUGAGCGGCUGCCAACAGCUUUCAUAGGGGUUUCAUCUGCUUAACUGUGCCGUCCUUCCUCCUCUCCCAGGCAGGAUUUCAGCUACAGCCGAUGUGCGGUGGCAGGAGUUGAUGAGUCGAGACGCUUUGUCUCAAGGCAGAUUAGAGAUAGAAGCUAUCACAGACAGCAGCACCGCCAGCCUUCAUAAGAGCUCCUCUCAUCUAGUUCAUCCCUGAACUCCGCGCAGCCCAGCCGGCACUGCAAAGACGCACGUGGGUUUGCGCGUUCCUGCGGGCUGUCCGAAGAAACGAAAGACGAAACAAAAGGAGCUGUCGGCGCUGCUCUGAAGGUCCCACGUGGGAGGGUUUGCGCCGAGGAAGGUCGGGAGCCGCGCUGCUCCCAGAGGAGCGAUGGUUUCAGGAUCCGGCCUUAGCACAUGGAAGUGGUGAAGGGCUCUGCGUGUGAGGUAUAAUGAGAAUUUCUCAGUUGGCUGGUGGUUAAACCAUGCUCGCUGCUGGUUCGAAGUCGUAUUGUUUUCUUUGGCCUGUUUAUUAAACUUCCUUAAACUUGGUCACUGUUGUAUCUGUUGUGCGGGACGGCUGUUGGAUAUGGGAGGAUUUGCGGUGCUGAAUGCAGCCAAGGGGGGCAGGGAGGUAACACAGCACCCUGCCAUGCGUGCACGCUUCCCUCCAUUGCUUCUGCGGGGAGAUCUGUGCCACGGCUUCCUUCCCCUCCUCCUGCACUGUUAUGGGUUCAGAGGAAGAUGCUGCUUAAUUCAAAAGUGGGUAACUGAGAAGGGGGGGUAUCACUCCCACUGUAGUGCCUGACCUGGCCCAGUGUGGUGAGCAGAGCUCCGUGUUCUGUGCACGUCUGUGAAACGCUGCAGGCUGAGCAGCUUUCAGGGCAGUUUUCCAAGUUGUUCUGUGGUUUUGAGUCACGUUACAUUUCAGUUAAUGUACAGAUGCCGCUGUGGCUGAUGUGCCAUCUGUGUACAAAUAAAAUGAGAGGC